AAAUUGAAGAGUUUGAUCAUGGCUCAGAUUGAACGCUGGCGGCAGGCCUAACACAUGCAAGUCGAACGGUAACAGGAAGAAGCUUGCUUCUUUGCUGACGAGUGGCGGACGGGUGAGUAAUGUCUGGGAAACUGCCUGAUGGAGGGGGAUAACUGCUGGAAACGGUAGCUAAUACCGCAUAACGUCGCAAGACCAAAGAGGGGGAC
rnacentral:rRNA from 1 species